UACUUUUAGGCGUCCUGUAUAAUGAUUACUUGGUUAUUGAAUUAGCUAAAAUCGGGAUAACAAAGUAGCCUAAAUAUUUGAAAUAGUUAACCAGAUCUAAUGGAUAAAUGUUGUUCUUGUUGCCAUGGAGAGUUUAUCAGCCCGUUGUUUGUACGAGAUAGGGAGAAGGGGCACCGUCGGAUUCUUUCCACUCCUCGCUGUAGCUGUGGCGGCCAGGCGGGGAGGUAAACAUCCUGGUUCUAUGGCCGUAUUUGGAUGUUAACCCUGCCGGCACAUGUGAACUUGAGAGCGCCUGUAAAAGGAGACACACAUGACAUCUGCCACCCGGCAGGAUCGCUCAUUCAACAUCCCCGGAGAGAAACGUGCCAGACAAAUAUAGCACCUGCACUAUGAAAUAAAUAAUAUAAUUGAG